UACAGAGGGGGCAAGCGUUGUUCGGAAUUACUGGGCGUAAAGGGCGCGUAGGCGGCCUUCUAAGUCAGACGUGAAAUCCCUCGGCUCAACCGGGGAACUGCGUCUGAUACUGGAUGGCUUGAGUUCGGGAGAGGGAUGCGGAAUUCCAGGUGUAGCGGUGAAAUGCGUAGAUAUCUGGAGGAACACCGGUGGCGAAGGCGGCAUCCUGGACCGAUACUGACGCUGAGGUGCGAAAGCUAGGGGAGCAAACGGG
rnacentral:rRNA from 1 species